GGGCUGCUGUCUCCAGCUCCUGGGGUGUGCACGCUGCUGCUGUGGCCUCUGGCCUGUGUCUGGGUCUCCAGGCUUGGUGGCAGAGCUGUCCUGUCAGUGUGGCAGUCUGUGGAGUGUGUCUGGUUCUGACCCUGCCCUGCCCUGCCGGCUCUCCCCUGAGCUUGGCCCCCAGGCCUGUGUCGUUGCUGUGAAUGUGCCUGAUGUUGGGACUUGUGGUUGAAGCUGCCCUGCUCUCCCCACCAGCUGUUUUGUGCCUGGUCCUGAUCCUGCCUCCCUGUCCUGCUGGAAGAAGUUGUGGGUUAGUUGAGAGAAGAGUCAACAAGCCAGGAUGCCCAAGUAAGGAAACAUCAGAUUAUGUCUUCUCCUCAGUGAUGUGGAGAUUAAAUGAUG